UCCCAGACUCCUACGGGAGGCAGCAGUGGGGGAUAUUGCACAAUGGGCGCAAGCCUGAUGCAGCGACGCCGCGUGAGCGAAGAAGUAUUUCGGUAUGUAAAGCUCUAUCAGCAGGGAAGAAGAUGACGGUACCUGACCAAGAAGCUCCGGCUAAAUACGUGCCAGCAGCCGCGGUAAUACGUAUGGAGCAAGCGUUAUCCGGAUUUACUGGGUGUAAAGGGAGCGCAGGCGGCCUUGCAAGUCUGAUGUGAAAGGCCGGGGCCCAACCCCGGGACUGCAUUGGAAACUGCGAGGCUGGAGUGUCGGAGAGGCAGGCGGAAUUCCUAGUGUAGCGGUGAAAUGCGUAGAUAUUAGGAGGAACACCGGUGGCGAAGGCGGCCUGCUGGACUGUAACUGGCGUUGAGGCUCGAAAGCGUGGGGAUCAAACAGGAUUAGAUACCCCUGUA
rnacentral:rRNA from 1 species